AUAUUUUUAUUUGUUUAAUGUGGCAACCGUAGCCCCUCCCCUGCUCUAUUUAACCAGAAAAGCUCCAUUUCUGUUUUCUGUGUCGGGCAUCUGUGAAAAACUUCCUUGGCCACAAGUUUCAGCUGCUGAAAGGAGAGAAGGCCUUUUAGUUGACACCAUCUCCCUGUCCCCUGCCAGCUCUGCCUUGCUCUUUCCUGCAAGGCUGCUAGCUGCAGGGGACAGAAACCGUCCCGGGCUGCCUGGUGCAGAAGUGGAGUUCACCAAAGGGUCUUGGGGGGCUCACAGAGCCUACGCGAAGGCUAGAGAACCAGGCUUGGGGGCUCUGCGCUUGGGAACAUGGCGCCGAGCACCCUGCAGAAUGGGCGGGGCUUGGGCUGAGAGCUUCCGGGCGGGUGCCUCUGAUUGGCCGAGACUCAGUCACGUGCCAGUGCUCGGGGCCGCAAAGCUGUCUGGGAGAGGGCGGCAGGUUCUGCUUCCCGCGGUGGGGACUCCCCAAACCUGAGAGAGGGGUUCUGGUGCUGCUGGGAGGAGGGAGGUGCCGAAAGCAGCGACAGUGAGUGCUCGCUCCUGCUGGUGAAGAUGGAAUUCUGACUCUUGAUGUUUCUAGAAGGAGGGGUUGCUUAUCAGAAGCUCAGGGCCAAGCAGCAGGCGUCAGUGGGACGGGGACUCUGGAGAGGGUUAGGGUCAGAUUCCGCCCAGGGACGUGGGCAGCCUCAGCCCUUCAACCUCUGUCUCAGUGGUCCUUGAAUAGUGAAUUGAACGGCGCUGCCUUGUAGGAGGGUUAGGGAGAGACUGGAUGCAUCCUCCAAAGCCAGCACAGCCCCUUAUAAAGUCAGGGGAAAACUGAUCCACCUACUCUGACUGGUAGAAGACUGGUGUGGACCGACAUAUGCUGACGUGGUCAAAAUCACUUCGGCAAGAUGUGACUGAUGAGGUAGGAAAUGAAAACUCCUUGCCCAGCGCUGGGAGGCAGCAGGCGAAGGGUGCGGACACAAUAACACCCCUCGGGAUUCCAGGCUGUCUUUCAUCCAGGGGAAGGAGGCCCAGAUGGUAACUAACGUAUCAAGGGCUGUCUCUGCACCCUUGGCAUCGUGGGAAGCCCCUUUGCGACCUGAAUUACCAUCUGAAUCCUCACAGCAACUCCAGGAGACAGGACUCUGGCCUCUCUCUCCACAUGGUCUCUCUCUCCAUGUGGCCUCUCACCAUGUGGCCUGGAGCUGCUGUCUUGUACAGAAGCCUCCAAGGGAGCCUCUGCUCCAGAAAUCUACAGAAGGUGAGAUCCUGCUCCCCAGGCCUCCUGCUCCAGGGAGGACCAGCCCCCACAGGAGGCUUAGCCAGAGCCCCCCAAACACUGCCCUUCACUGCUCAUUCCAAACUCCCUCUGGGGACCCCCCUCUGUCCCAGCCCCAGGAGAAGAGGGAGACAGGGCUGAACUUUUACCCCUCUGCACUCAUUGCUACUCUGGGUGAGGGGUUAUUUUGCUCCCGGUUUUACAGAUGAGGAAACUGAGGCUCUAAGCAGCAGUCAUUCGCCUAAGGUCCCACACUGGCAGAGGAGAUGGGCGGGUUCUAAGGUGUCUGGGGCCUCCCUGUGACCAAGUGGGGGGCUCAGCGUCAUUUAUGGGAUGACUGGAGGGUGACAUCUCUGGCACAGACCCUGGCAGGGAACCGGAUGCGAAGACGGGUGGGCCCCCCGGGGAAUGCCAGGUGGGGGCAGGGAAGGGCAGACAAUGGCGCGGUGUCUAGUCUGGGGAGCGUGGGGGGGGGCCUGGAAAUAUACGGGCCCCAAAGAGGAGGAGGCGGGGAAAAACUCCCUAGCUCACACGAAGUUCACUUAUUCGUUCUACAAACGUGGACGGUGCGGCCACAGCGGCUGCCGGGCGCUGGGCGCUGGGCUCCGGGAGCUGCCGGGACGUCGCUGGCCUGGGCCCUCGGGCGCUGGGUCUCUAGCGCGGAACAGCGCAACCGGGAACUGCAGGCAGCAAGAGAAAUUAAAGGAAAUAAAGCAAGCGUGCUUUGGGUUGACAGAAGCAGCGACGGCCGUAGCGAGGCCAGUCUGGGACGGUCUCCGAGAGGCGAAACGGCAUCUGGCGCGGGCGAGGGAGGGAGGUGCGGGGGAGGGAACGCCAAGUGCGAAGACGAGGUAGAGGCAGGUCGGGGGAGCCUGGAGGGCUCAGCGGGGCUGAACCAACGGAAGGGGGACAGAGGGACAAGGCGGGCUCAAGGGUCACCGCCUCUGGGAAGCUUCUGCUACCCGGGCGCUUCCCCCGCGCUCCCCCGCGUUUUCGUACCGCAGCCCGAACCCCGCAGGUCCUGCUCGGGUGUCCGUCCUGGUCCGGACUGCGAGUCCCGAGGUCGCAGGGCGGGCUCGGAUUCCUGCCUCCACGUCCCCGCGGCGUCCGGCCCGGCGCUGGGCACCCCGUGGGCACUCGGUAAAUAUUUGUGGAGCGCACCAGAAGGAAUGAAUGAACCCAUUGGGCACA